rnacentral:lncRNA from 1 species
UAAUGGUGGUUUGGGAUUCAAAUAGAGAUAAGGGGCAUAUGGUGUAUGCCUAAAGUGAUUUGGAACGGUUAAAGUUUUUGGCCGACUUUUCGAUUUGAGAUUCGAACAGACCAGGUUUGAUUUGAAGAAAGUGGAAUGAAUAUUUGGAAUGGGGAGGUGCAGGGGAGUUCGUGGUGUAAAAAUGAAGCUGAUUGGACCACCAGAACCACCGUGAGGCGAUUUUCAGUGGUGGUUCGCAGCGGAGGUGACAUGGAAAAUGAGGUGACUAGGGUUAUACAGGUUAGGGCGAGAGACAUGAGAACUGAGGUGAAU